rnacentral:rRNA from 1 species
CGGUGGAGCAUGUGGUUUAAUUCGAAGCAACGCGAAGAACCUUACCAGGCCUUGACAUGCAGAGAACUUUCCAGAGAUGGAUUGGUGCCUUCGGGAACUCUGACACAGGUGCUGCAUGGCUGUCGUCAGCUCGUGUCGUGAGAUGUUGGGUUAAGUCCCGUAACGAGCGCAACCCUUGUCCUUAGUUACCAGCACGUUAUGGUGGGCACUCUAAGGAGACUGCCGGUGACAAACCGGAGGAAGGUGGGGAUGACGUCAAGUCCUCAUGGCCCUUACAGGUGGGGCUACACACGUGCUACAAUGGCGACCACAGAGGGGAGCGACCCUGCGAGGGGCAGCCAAUCUCGAAAAGUCGUCUCAGUUCGGAUUGCAGGCUGAAACUCGCCUACAUGAAGUUGGAGUUGCUAGUAAUCGCGAAUCAGAAUGUCGCGGUGAAUGCGUUCCCGGGUCUU